rnacentral:rRNA from 1 species
AAAGACCUUAUGCUUUUGGAGCGGCCGAUGUCUGAUUAGCUAGUUGGUAAGGUAAUGGCUUACCAAGGCGACGAUCAGUAGUUGGUCUGAGAGGACGGCCAGCCACACUGGGACUGAGACACGGCCCAGACUCCUACGGGAGGCAGCAGUGGGGAAUUUUGGACAAUGGGCGCAAGCCUGAUCCANCAAUGCCGCGUGAGUGAAGAAGGCCUUCGGGUUGUAAAGCUCUUUCAGUCNAGAANAAAAGGUUGUGACUAAUAAUUGCAACUGAUGACGGUAUCGACAGAAGAAGCACCGGCUAACUACGUGCCAGCAGCCGCGGUAAUACGUAGGGUGCGAGCGUUAAUCGGAAUUACUGGGCGUAAAGGGUGCGCAGGCGGUUCUGUAAGUCAGAUGUGAAAUCCCCGGGCUUAACCUGGGAACU